UGCCAGCAGCCGCGGUAAUACGUACCGGACAAACGUUAUUCGGAAUCACUGGGCUUAAAGAGUACGUAGGCUGCCUUGUAGGUUGGGUGUGAAAUCCCACAGCUCAACUGUGGAACUGCGCUCAAAACCACCAGGCUUGAGGGAGACAGGGGUGAGCGGAACUGAUGGUGGAGCGGUGAAAUGCGUUGAUACCAUCAGGAACACCGGUGGCGAAGGCGGCUCACUGGGUCUCUUCUGACGCUGAGGUACGAAAGCUAGGGUAGCGAACGGGAUUAGAUA
rnacentral:rRNA from 1 species